GGUGAGGUGUCCGAGUGGUCGAAGGAGCACGCCUGGAAAGUGUGUAUACGGCAACGUAUCGAGGGUUCAAAUCCCUCCCUCACCGCCA
rnacentral:tRNA from 3 species